UACAGAGGGGGCAAGCGUUGUUCGGAAUUACUGGGCGUAAAGGGCGCGUAGGCGGCCUUCUAAGCCGAACGUGAAAUCCCCGGGCUCAACCCGGGAACUGCGUCCGAUACUGGAAGGCUUGAAUCCGGGAGAGGGAUGCGGAAUUCCAGGUGUAGCGGUGAAAUGCGUAGAUAUCUGGAGGAACACCGGUGGCGAAGGCGGCAUCCUGGACCGGCAUUGACGCUGAGGCGCGAAAGCCAGGGGAGCAAACGGG
rnacentral:rRNA from 1 species